rnacentral:rRNA from 1 species
GACGGAGGAUGCAAGUGUUAUCCGGAAUCACUGGGCGUAAAGCGUCUGUAGGUGGUUCGAAAAGUCCACUGUUAAAAAUUGAGGCUUAACUUCAAAGAUGCCGUGGAAACUUUCAAACUAGAGUAUGGUAGAGGACCAUGGAAUUUCGGGUGUAGCGGUGGAAUGCGUAGAUAUCCGAAAGAACACCGGUGGCGAAGGCGGUG